AAAUUGAAGAGUUUGAUCAUGGCUCAGAUUGAACGCUGGCGGCAGGCCUAACACAUGCAAGUCGAACGGUAACAGGAAACAGCUUGCUGUUUCGCUGACGAGUGGCGGACGGGUGAGUAAUGUCUGGGAAACUGCCCGAUGGAGGGGGAUAACUACUGGAAACGGU
rnacentral:rRNA from 2 species